AGAGCGAAGUCUGCAAUGAGGUGUUGCACAGUGAGAAUUAGCCCAAGCCCAUUUCUUGUGGGAGCUGUCAAAGAUUUGUUUAGCAGCCACCAGGGCGUCCACAGCAUUAAACAUCUUAUCGUUUGACACCAGAGAUGGACAGGAGGGGUUAGGGUCUGUGCACCACGUGACAUCCUGUUUCAGUGCUGUUCAUCUUCGUAGAAGAAGAGCUCCAUCUCUUACAUUGUUUCUGAGGCCCUCCUCUGGAUGCAUUUCAAUAGGUGCACAUCUCUCUCAUACUCAGAACCCUGCAUCUGGACUCAGAACUCCAAGUGAGGUCUUGCCAGCACAAAGCAGAGGGUCGGGAUCACCUUCCUUGAUGUACUAGCCAUGCUUGUUUGGAUGCAGCCCAGGAUACAGUUGCCUUUCUGGGCCGUGAAGGUGCAUUACUGGCUUGCACUCAGCUUGCCAUGCAGAGGUACUUCCAAAAUCUUUUCCAUAGGUUCCACAGGGCUGUGAUCAAUCCUUCUUCCCCCCCCACCUCCCACCCCCCCACUCC